CUCCAACUCGUCUCCGCCUCCGCGUUUACCGCUUCAAAUUUGCCCGCCCCAAUUACCCACCGCCUAAGACGUUUCCACGUGUCUGGUGCUCUACAGCUAAGCACACCAACAUGUUACUUGCCCGCUCCGACAUCUUUUCUGACACGUGGCUUGCAUUUCACGUGUUCAACAUAUAUGGACGCAUGUGAUUGGCUAAACGGUGCCUGCUCCCCUUGCAAGGUAUUCAAUUCUUGCAGUUGGUGUUACAUGUUUCUACAAUCUAACUGUUUGUUUCGCUUGCACGUUUAGAUACAGGACACGCGUCAGCUUAAGUUAUUUUCAAUUGUACAAAUCCGCCGUUGAUUGGUGCCCCACGAGAGUUUUUAGCAUAAAUUAUGUGUUUAUUUAAUUGAUUAUCC
rnacentral:lncRNA from 1 species